GGAUGGCACUCUGGAGACAUCUGCAUAUGCAGGGGCCGAAGGGGCAAGCGUUUCGGCGCGAAACUCUCAGGCAAAAGGACAGAGGCGGUUUU
rnacentral:ncRNA from 2 species